rnacentral:rRNA from 1 species
AGCAGCCGCGGUAAUUCCAGCUCCAAUAGCGUAUAUUAAAGUUGUUGCAGUUAAAAGCUCGUAGUUGAAUUUCGGGAUCAGUACGCUGGUCGUGCCUUCGGUAUGUACUGGUGUCACUGAUUCCUCCCUUCUGAAGAACCAUCAUGCCAUUCACUUGGUGUGGUGGGGAAUCAGGACUGUUACUUUGAAAAAAUUAGAGUGUUUAAAGCAGGCUCGCGCUUGAAUACAUUAGCAUGGAAUAAUGAAAUAGGACGUUAAUCCUAUUUUGUUGGUUUCUAGGAUCGACGUAAUGAUUAAUAGGGAUAGUUGGGGGCAUUAGUAUUCAAUUGUCAGAGGUGAAAUUCUUGGAUUUAUUGAAGACUAACUAACUGCGAAAAGCAUUUGCCAAGGAUGUUUUCAUUAAUCAAAGAACGAAAAGUUAGGGGGAUCGAAAGACGAUCAGAUACCGUCGUAGUCUUAACCAUAAAACUAUGCCGACUAGGGAUCGG